CAAACUUUCUAAAAUUGGAGGUAAAACCAUUAAGACAAAUACAAAUAAAUGUGAUGCAAAGUGUAUGACAGCAUGCAACCUUAAUCAAACUUUUAACCUGACAAAGUGUCUCAUAACUUGUAAAAAUUAUAAUUUGUGUGAACUUGGUUGUUUAUUCUACAGUCAUAUUAAAGAAAAUGACACUGGUUGUUGACCAAUGGUUUAUAAUCAAAAUUUAAUAUGGCUGGCGGUAAAGGUAAAGAGAAGU
rnacentral:lncRNA from 1 species